AGCAGACACUGCUCCGCAAAAGCAGUGCCCCAAAAGAUGCUGGGGCAGGUGCCAUGGGCAAGGCUGUCUCCUUCUGGCUGUGCCAUCCUGCUGCUGGUGCUCUGUGGCAGCAUGAGCUCCCAGGACAUCUGCAGCUCCCCAGGUACUCGUGAGUCCUUCCCUCCCAGAGCCAGGGCACUUGGAAGCCCACCCACUGUGAGCUGUGCCCUAUGGCAGCCCUUCACUGCUGUGUCUCCUCCAGGGGAUCUUCCAGCUCCUGCUCUCCAAAUGAACUCAACUUCUGCUCAGCCAGGUAAAAUAAUUUUGCUCCAGUGUAUUCUCCCUGUGGUGUCACAUGCAAGACGAAUCAUCUUCUGCAAGGAUGGGAUAGAGGCGUACAGCCAGAAAGCCCAGCAAAGGCAGCUGAGCUACUCAGUCGUCUUGAACAUCACGUCAAGAAACGCAGGAAGAUAUACAUGUGGGUACCAGCAGACUAAUAACAUGAAACACAUGAGGAGCUCUGCCCUCAGUGCUGGCCGCAACCUGGAUGUCCCAGGUGCAUUUGCUGGAGUAACCACCCAGGAUAUCGGAAGCUCCCCAGGCAAUGUGGUGAGUUCCCCAGCAAGUCCAUCACCCCCAGGUGAGAGAUUCCCUCCAACACCCUCAGAAAACAGACCAUGGGGAGUGGGCGUGCUGUGCUGCCUUCCCCAGGGCAUGGGGACAAGCAGGAGCUUUACCAGGCAGGAGCUGUGCCAGCUGCACGGGCACGUCCUUCUCCCUGCCUCUCCCCAUCACACCCCACUGCCCUCACACCCUCUCUGCCCCAGCUCCACAUGCCCGGAUCCGGCACGCCCUCCCCACAGGCAUGGCGCUGGCAGUGGCGGCCAUCGGCCUUGUCCUCCUGGCUGCAGGCAGCUGC
rnacentral:lncRNA from 1 species